rnacentral:lncRNA from 1 species
CCUCAGGUUUGGUGACGGUGAUGUGAGUCACUGAGCAAACGUUUUCCAGCUCCUCGAACUUUCUUUUUACCGAUCCGAGGGUGAUUUUGUUUAGCCCUCCACCUGUUAUCACCAGUGCUUUUGGGAAAUUCUCCCAUGAGCCAUUCAGGUGGGCGUUGAAAUGCCUCAUGAGCGCUCCCUCGUCUGACCCCGGGGAUGGGAGCGGAAUUUCAGGUGCGGAGAUGGCAAGCGCCUGAGGGGCGAUGCCUCUGUUUUCCUGCUCAGGAACAUCAAUGGCCAUUGCGACCUCUUGAGGCUCCCGCCUUGGUUGUUGUUGUUGUUGUUGUGCUUGUUCGUCG